UACGGAGGGGGCCAGCGUUGUUCGGAAUCAUUGGGCGUAAAGGGCGCGUAGGCGGCUUUGUAAGUCCGUUGUGAAAUCCCUCGGCUCAACCGAGGAACUGCGACGGAUACUGCUUGGCUUGAGUCCCGGAGAGGGUAGCGGAAUUCCCAGUGUAGCGGUGAAAUGCGUAGAUAUCUGGAGGAACACCGGUGGCGAAGGCGGCAUUCUGGACCGACAUUGACGCUGAGGAGCGAAAGCCAGGGGAGCAAACGGG
rnacentral:rRNA from 1 species